GGAAGGGAUGUAGCUCAGUGGUUGAGCACCUGCUUCCUAUGUAUGAAGUCCCGGGUUCAAUCCCCGGUAUUUCCA
rnacentral:tRNA from 1 species